UCGUUGAAACAAGAGGAGAAGGUGAUUCAACCGCACGAGGAGCGAUUCAAGAUUGUUACUCCAAGCUCCACCGAGGUUAGAAAGCAAAAGCUGAGGCCGACAAAGGAUGAGAAAGAGAGAAGGUGUGAAUAGACUAUCAAGAUGCGAGUAGAGCUAAUCAGAAAGAUGGAUUCCCGGUACAUCACAAUGAGGUAUUGGUUGAUCAUAUGGCUCAGGUCUCAGUGUUUAUCUUCAUGGAUGGCUUCUUGGCCAAGACCAGAUUGAAUUGUUGCCAGAUGAUAUGAAGUAAACCAG
rnacentral:lncRNA from 1 species